rnacentral:rRNA from 1 species
AUGGUGGUCGUCAGCUCGAGUCGAGAGAUGUUGGGUUAAGUCCCGCAACGAGCGCAACCCUUAAAUUUAGUUGCCAGCAUUUAGUUGGGCACUCAUAGGUUGACUGCCGGUGACAAACCGGAGGAAGGUGGGGAUGACGUCAAAUCAUCAUCCCCCCCAUGAUUUGGGGUACACCCCUGCUACAACGGACAACACAACAGGGCAGCUAAACCGCCGAGGUCAUCCAAAUCCCAACAAAGUUGUUCUCAGUUUGGAUUGUAGUUUGCAACUUGGCUACACGAAGGUGGAAGCUCUUGUAAUCGUAGAUCUGCCACGCUACGGUGAAUACGUUUCCGGGUGCUGUGUGACACACCGCCCGUCACAGCACGGGAGUUUGUUACACCCGGAACCGGGGGAGUUACCCCUUAGGGGGAGGGAGCGUGUGAAAGGUGGGCCAGAUGAUGGGGGUUC